UACAGAGGUCCCAAGCGUUGUUCGGAUUCAUUGGGCGUAAAGGGCGCGUAGGCGGCACGGCAAGUCGGGAGUGAAAGCCCGGGGCUCAACCCCGGAACGUCUUUCGAAACUGCCGAGCUAGAGUGCGGAAGGGGCAACUGGAAUUCCCAGUGUAGCGGUGAAAUGCGCAGAUAUCAGGAGGAACACCGAUUGCGAAGGCAGCUCGCUGGAACGUUACUGACGCUGAGACGCGAAAGCGUGGGGAGCGAACAGG
rnacentral:rRNA from 1 species